rnacentral:rRNA from 1 species
GACGAACGCUGGCGGCGUGCCUAACACAUGCAAGUCGAACGGAACCAUUUUUGAGCUUGCUUAGAGAUGGUUUAGUGGCGGACGGGUGAGUAACGCGUGAGGAACCUGCCUUUCAGAGGGGGAUAACGUCUGGAAACGGACGCUAAUACCGCAUAAUAUCGCGGCGUCACAUGGCGCCGGGAUCAAAGGAGCAAUCCGCUGAGAGAUGGACUCGCGUCCGAUUAGCCAGUUGGCGGGGUAACGGCCCACCAAAGCGACGAUCGGUAGCCGGGCUGAGAGGCUGAACGGCCACAUUGGGACUGAGACACGGCCCAGACUCCUACGGGAGGCAGCAGUGGGGGAUAUUGCACAAUGGAGGAAACUCUGAUGCAGCAACGCCGCGUGAGGGAAGAAGGUUUUCGGAUUGUAAACCUCUGUCCUCAGGGACGAUAAUGACGGUACCUGAGGAGGAAGCUCCGGCUAACUACGUG